CUGAUGAAACACCUUUCACCUCUGUUAUGAGUGUUAUCGUUGCAUACUUUGACCACCAGAAGGGACUUGUUAACUUCACUGUUGGCAACACACAUUUUUGGAAACACUAACAUAAACAGCUGAUGAUGUUCAGCAGAGCUAAACGGAGAGUAAACGCAUAGCUAUACUGAACAGAUGCUAAUGAAACAUCAGGAAACAUCAGGAAAGUUCAUCCUUGGGAAAGAUGUGAGAAGCUGAGUCAUGUAAGUGUAACUGAACUAUGAACCCUUGAAGUUAGGGACCAUGGAUUUAAUCCAGUCACAGCCAUUCAUCUUAACAUCAUUUUCCUUUUUUUUUUUGUUUUCUAGCUUGUCAGCUAUAACAAGAUUUAAUUUUCUCAUUAGACCACAUUUUCUUGUAAAUGAACCAAAUUUGGAAACUAGCAAUUGGUCUUCCUGACUUGUUGUGAGGUAUGAAUCCAUUUAAGUGUGUUAUUGAGAAAUUUUCACAAAAAGUCAUUGCAGGCUCUCCUCAGUGUGUGAACCACCAGGUCCUCUGUUCAGAAUGACUUUAAUCACGAAGUCAACAUUUCAUCCACACAUAACGAAGACAAAUUAAUACUAAAAUCCACCAUCUACCUUCCAGUUAAAGUGUAUUUAAUCACAUCUCACAAAGACUGUUGCCAGCUUGAUGCAGUUCACAACACUCUAGGAAAGUCAGUAUUGUUAACGGUCAAAAGUAAUGGUGGUCAAAUUCAUUUGACCCAGUAUCGCCAUCUCAUCCAUCUGUGUUCCCCAAGGAAGAAGACAUGUGAUUAGGUUAUGUGGUUCAUUAGUUCAUUCCAGUUUACUUCAGUUUGUCAUUAAACUUUGGCACAGGCAUUUUUUCAUUGUUUUUUUUUUUUUUUUUUGUCUUUUAUUUAUUUAGUAACAAUCAUUUUAAAUCAAUUGGUUUGUUGGGGAAACAUUUUAAUCUGUGUUUUAUUUAUUUCCUUUUUAUCAGAACACAAUUUUCUAGAGAUUAUGGGACAUUUGCUUUCUACCACAUUGAGGAUGAUAACUGAUCAUUGUAUUGUAUUUUGACCUUGUGAGCCAAUGUUCCAAGGUAUUACUCAGAGAUUCCUAGAAAAGAUAUCAUGGUAGUAGAUGUUUGACAGCGGUGAAAGCCCUGUUCAACCUUAUCUGCAGCUUAUAAGCUUUUAUGUUUUCAAAUAUGAUUUCUAUUAUUUUAUGGUUCCUCCCUUUUUCUUUUUUCCCCCAACUAGAGUUUAUUACUCAGGCUUUUUUUAAAUUUUAUUUUUAUCAUUGUUUAUCUGUCAAUACAUGUUUGUUUUGUUUGUUUCUUUUGUUUAAUUUAGCUUUGCAGUAUGUAAUUUGUUUACAGAAUUAUGUAGUAAUAAAAAAAUAGAAGGGAUUUAUUUACAGUAGUCUGCAGAAAUCAAGUUUAUUUGUCAACACAGUCUGAACUCUCUUAGCCAUGCUUUGUUGUAAUUUCUUAAAGUAGUCUUCAGAAAUAGUUCUCCAGGCUCCUUGAAGACAUUCAAAGCUCUUCUUUGGAUCUUGGAUGCCUUUCAUUUUGUUCUCUUGUGUCAAGAUGAUCCCACUGUUUCAGUAAUGUUGAGGUUCGGGCUCUGGGGAGGCUGGUCCAUGACUGACAGUGUUCCGCUGUGUAUCAGAUACUUUUCAUCUGCCAUUAAUCGUUUUUUCGGCCUGCCACUUGUUCGAUGGUCCUCAAAUUGUUUAAUUUCCUCAUGUUUUUGCCAAUCUAUGCCAGGUUUUUGGGUUAUAGCAUUUUGGGAAUCACCUAGUUGGGGUAAAAUAUUAUUUUUAUGCCUGACAAACUGUGUUAUCUUUAGCAUUUUUUUUUAUAAGGAAACAAAUUAUGUGUUUUUGUGACAGGAUGCUAGUAUCAAAGUGCAUGCAGGUACAAUUAGUUUUUGCCAAGUUGUCUGUUAUGUAUAGACACAACACUGGUUCAUAUCCUGAGUUAGGCGCCUUCUUUAAUGCUUGAAUGAUUUGUAGGUCAGUGUUAAGAAACUUAACAAACAAACAGAAAAAUCUUCUGGAAAUAGUCAAGCACAAGGACUGGGUUGAAAAUAAGUGAAAAAGCAGCCAAAAAACCCCCACAAAACAUUCUUUGAAAGAUCUUCAGAAAACCUGGAGAACUAUUGCU
ensembl:lncRNA